GACGAACGCUGGCGGCGUGCUUAACACAUGCAAGUCGAACGGAAAGGCCCUGCUUUUGUGGGGUGCUCGAGUGGCGAACGGGUGAGUAACACGUGAGUAACCUGCCCUUGACUUUGGGAUAACUUCAGGAAACUGGGGCUAAUACCGGAUAGGAGCUCCUGCUGCAUGGUGGGGGUUGGAAAGUUUCGGCGGUUGGGGAUGGACUCGCGGCUUAUCAGCUUUUUGGUGGGGUAGUGGCUUACCAAGGCUUUGACGGGUAGCCGGCCUGAGAGGGUGACCGGCGACAUGGGGACUGAGAUACGGCGCAGACUCCUACGGGAGGCAGCAGUGGGGAAUAUUGCACAAUGGGCGGAAGCCUGAUGCAGAAACGCCGCGUGCGGGAUGACGGCCUUCGGGUUGUAAACCGCUUUCGCCUGUGACGAAGCGUGAGUGACGGUAAUGGGUAAAGAAGCACCGGCUAACUACGUG
rnacentral:rRNA from 1 species